GUGUCAGCCGCCGCGGUAAUACGGAGGUUGCAAGCGUUAUCCGGAUUUAUUGGGUUUAAAGGGUGCGUAGGCGGGAUAAUAAGUCAGUGGUGAAAACCUGCAGCUUAACUGUAGAACUGCCAUUGAUACUGUUAUUCUUGAGUAUAGUUGAGGUAGGCGGAAUGUGUAGUGUAGCGGUGAAAUGCUUAGAUAUUACACAGAACACCGAUUGCGUAGGCAGCUUACUAAACUAUAACUGACGCUGAGGCACGAAAGCGUGGGGAUCAAACAGGAUUAGAAACCCGCGUAGUCC
rnacentral:rRNA from 1 species